AACAAGGCGUACCUGCGGACCUGCGGAGGGAUCAUUAACCUUUCAAAAAACAGGGUGCGUCGCGGCCCCCCUCCGGGGGCGGUUUGGGGUCCUCCCCUUCACGCGCGCACGACUGCAUCCUUACUUUACGAGCACCUUCUGUUCUCCCUCGGCGGGGCAACCUGCCGUUGGAACCGAAUAAACCCUUUUUUGCAUCCAGCAUUACCCGUUCCGAAACAAACAAUCGUUACAACUUUCAGC
rnacentral:misc_RNA from 1 species